GACGAACGCUGGCGGCGUGCUUAACACAUGCAAGUCGAACGGAAAGGCCCUGCUUUUGGGGGGUGCGCGAGUGGCGAACGGGUGAGUAACACGUGAGUAACCUGCCCUUGACUUUGGGAUAACUUCAGGAAACUGGGGCUAAUACCGGAUAGGAGCUCCUGCUGCAUGGUGGGGGUGGGAAAGUUUCGGCGGUUGGGGAGGGACUCGCGGCUUAUCAGCUUGUUGGUGGGGUAGUGGCUUACCAAGGCUUUGACGGGUAGCAGGCCUGAGCGGGUGACCGGCCACAUUGGGACUGGGAUACGGCCCAGCCUCCUACGGGAGGCAGCAGUGGGGAAGAUUGCACAAUGGGCGGAAGCCUGAUGCAGCAACGCCGCGUGCGGGAUGACGGCAUUCGGGUUGUAAACCGCUUUCGCCUGUGACGAAGCGUGAGUGACGGUAAUGGGUAAAGAAGCACCGGCUAACUACGUG
rnacentral:rRNA from 1 species